AUGAAACGAGGCAACUCAGAAUCGUCCUCAACCUCUCUUGGGCCUCCUCAAUCGAAGUUCAAAGCCAACCCAGAAGAGGAUUCAAAUUUCUUGGAGGAUGAGACCACAAAGAUUUUUGCACGAAAAGUGGCUGAUCAUUAUAGUGCAAGGAAAAUUGCAAGGAAAAUCAAUCUCUGGAAGAACGAGAAGCUAGUCCCAUCAUCCAUUUAAAAAAGCUUAACAAUUGGAUUAAGAGUGUCUUAAUUCAGCUUUAUGCUCGCUGAGGAGAUGCUGUUCUUGAUCUUGCAUGCGGCAAGGGAGGUGAUCUAAUCAAAUGGGACAAGGCUAAUAUUGGGUACUAUGUUGUCAUUGAUAUUGCGGAAGGCUCUAUAGAAGAUUGUCGUACCCAUUACAAUGGUGAUGCCGAUCAUCAUCAACGCCGUAAACAGUUUACAUUUCCUGCACGCCUUAUCUGUGGAGACUGCUAUGAGGUUCGACUGGAUAAAGCCCUGGCGGAUGAUGCACCCUUUGAUAUUUGCAGUUGCCAGUUUGCCUUGCAUUAUUCCUGGUCCACUGAAGCACGAGCACGGAGAGCCUUGGCUAAUGUUUCAGCCUUACUUCGCCCAGGUGGAACUUUCAUUGGAACAAUGCCAGACGCUAAUGUGAUCAUCAAAAACCUGAGAGAAGCUGAAGGCUUAUUCUUUGGAAAUAGUGUCUACUGGAUACGAUUUGAUGAGGAAUUUUCAGAAAAGAAAUUUACGUCUUCAAGCCCCUUUGGUAUCAAGUACAAGUUUCAUCUGGAGGAUGCUGUUGAUUGCCCUGAAUGGAUCGUCCCCUUUCAUUUAUUCAAAUCAUUGGUAGAAGAGUAUGAUAUGGAGUUAAUUUUUGUGAAGAACUCUCAUGAAUUUGUGCACGAGUAUAUGAAAGGACCAGAGUAUGUAGAUUUAAUGCGGAGGAUUGGUGCAUUAGGUGACGGUAACCAAGAUCAGAGUACACUAUCACAAGAUGAAUGGGAAGUGGCCUAUUUGUACUUGUCAUUUGUCUUGAGGAAGCGUGGCCAACCUGAUCGGACUCAACCAAAUGGUAGAAGAGAUGAAGGGAACAUGCGUAUAUCAAAAGAGGACAUAUUGAACAUUGAACAUUAGUUUAUUGUACAUCAAACAUGUUUCAAAGUUCCAUUUUCAUAGCAAAAAGAAAUCGUGCUUGGCCAAAUGAGAGAGGGAGGAGCUAACUGCUAGGCUGUUCUAUUACUGUACUCGUUCCAAGAAAUUUUGUAGAUAUGCUCGAGUGCUCCAAUCCAAGAUAUGUAUUUGUCUAUUCGACUACA